rnacentral:lncRNA from 1 species
CUCUGAUUCAGGCUAACUGGGUCUUUGUGCGCUUGCGUAUCUGGAGUUGCGCGUCCGCUGUAGGCCGCUUGCGGCUGUGAGGGUCCGCCGAGCUGUCGCGGGUUUAUUUAAUCGCCACGGACUCUUGUGUGAGACUCUUGUUCCUCCUGCGGCUGUCCAGCGCUUCCCGGUUCUGUGUGGGCACGAGUCCGUGAGAGGGGUCACGCCCUUCUUCCCCAGAGGGUGUGGAGCGCGGGGUUCGCGCAGGGAGGGAGGAGACAGAAAAAUGGUGGCAUCGUUGAAACUGAAAGACUCUGCCUUCACUAUUCAGAAGUUGGGCUGUCAGUCAACAGCUGACCUCAGGGAAUCAAGAAAACUGACUUUGCAGAGGAAGACCCUUUGGAUCUGGGUCCCAGAGCACUCAGCUGAAGACCUGCAGAGUCUGUGAAAUAGACAGGUGGCUUGGCCCAUAAUUUGAGAAACAAGAUACCCUUGAAAAGUCGCAUCUUACCAAGUUGUUUUACCUGAUGGAGGAUGGACACCAACCAAACAACUGGAUGUACAAACUAGGUGCCAUGGUGGAUUAGAAGGAGAGUGCUGGCAAAAGUUUUCAAAUUUGAGUAGACUACUAAGACAGG